AACGAACGCUGGCGGCAUGCCUAACACAUGCAAGUCGAACGAGACCUUCGGGUCUAGUGGCGCACGGGUGCGUAACGCGUGGGAAUCUGCCCUUGGGUUCGGGAUAACAGUUGGAAACGACUGCUAAUACCGGAUGAUGACUUCGGUCCAAAGAUUUGUCCCCCAGGGAUGAGUCCGCGUAGGAUUAGCUAGUUGGUGAGGUAAAGGCUCACCAAGGCGACGAUCCUUAGCUGUUCUGAGAGGAUGAUCAGCCACACUGGGACUGAGACACGGCCCAGACUCCUACGGGAGGCAGCAGUGGGGAAUAUUGGACAAUGGGCGAAAGCCUGAUCCAGCAAUGCCGCGUGAGUGAUGAAGGCCUUAGGGUUGUAAAGCUCUUUUACCCGGGAUGAUAAUGACAGUACCGGGAGAAUAAGCCCCGGCUAACUCCGUGCCAGCAGCCGCGGUAA
rnacentral:rRNA from 1 species